AACCGGGAAGAGCUCAAAUUUGAAAUCUGGCGUCCUCAGGGCGUCCGAGUUGUAAUCUAUAGAGGCGUUUUCCGUGCCGGACCGUGUCCAAGUUCCUUGGAACAGGAUAUCAAAGAGGGUGACAAUCCCGUACUUGACACGACGACCGGUGCUCUGUGAUACGUCUUCUACGAGUCGAGUUGUUUGGGAAUGCAGCUCAAAAUGGGUGGUGAGUUCCAUCUAAAGCUAAAUAUUGGCGAGAGACCGAUAGCGAACAAGUACCGUGAGGGAAAGAUGAAAAGCACUUUGGAAAGAGAGUUAAACAGUACGUGAAAUUGUUGAAAGGGAAACGAUUGAAGUCAGUCGUGACCGAGAGGCUCAGCCGGCUCUGCCGGUGUAUUCCCCUCGGUCGGGUCAACAUCAGUUUUGUCCGGUGGAUAAGGGCGGUAGGAAGGUGGCACCCUCGGGUGUGUUAUAGCCUGCCGUCGCAUACAUCGGGUGAGACUGAGGAACGCAGCUCGCCUUUAUGGCCGGGGUUCGCCCACGUCCGAGCUUAGGAUGUUGACAUAAUGGCUUUAAACGACCCGUCUUGAAA
rnacentral:rRNA from 1 species